rnacentral:rRNA from 1 species
GACGUAGGGCGCGAGCGUUGUCCGGAUUUAUUGGGCGUAAAGAGCUCGUAGGCGGCUUGUCGCGUCGGCUGUGAAAUCCCGUGGCUUAACUGCGGGUCUGCAGCCGAUACGGGCAGGCUAGAGUUCGGUAGGGGAGACUGGAAUUCCUGGUGUAGCGGUGAAAUGCGCAGAUAUCAGGAGGAACACCGGUGGCGAAGGCGGCCCACUGGUCCGGUACUGACGCUGAGGUGCGAAAGCGUGGGGAGCAAACAGG